rnacentral:rRNA from 1 species
AGCUCCAAUAGCGUAUAUUAAAGUUGUUGCGGUUAAAAAGCUCGUAGUUGGAUCUCGGCAGGCAGGGGGUGGUUCGCUCCUUAGCGCUACUGCCCCCUUUGCCUGUGUGAUUGGCGGCGGUUUCGGGGGGCCCUUUAUUGAGUGCCCCGUGGCGCCGUCAGGUUUACUUUGAAAAAAUUAGAGUGCUCAAAGCAGGCUUUUCACGCUUGAAUAUUCGUGCAUGGAAUAAUGGAAUAGGAACUCGUUUCUAUUUUGUUGGUUUUCGGAAAUCGAGUUAAUGAUUAAUAGGGACAAUUGGGGGCAUUAGUAUUCAGACGACAGAGGUGAAAUUCUUGGACCGUCUGAAGACUAACUACUGCGAAAGCAUUUGCCAAGAGUGUUUUCA